UAGGGGAUCUUCCGCAAUGGACGAAAGUCUGACGGAGCGACGCGGCGUGAGCGAAGAAGGUCUUCGGAUCGUAAAGCUCUGUUGUUAGGGAAGAAGAAGUACCGUUCGAAUAGGGCGGUACGGUGACGGUACCUAACGAGAAAGCCCCGGCUAACUACGUGCCAGCAGCCGCGGUAAUACGUAGGGGGCGAGCGUUGUCCGGAAUUAUUGGGCGUAAAGCGCGCGCAGGCGGUCCCUUAAGUCUGAUGUGAAAGCCCACGGCUCAACCGUGGAGGGUCAUUGGAAACUGGGGGACUUGAGUGCAGAAGAGGAGAGCGGAAUUCCACGUGUAGCGGUGAAAUGCGUAGAGAUGUGGAGGAACACCAGUGGCGAAGGCGGCUCUCUGGUCUGUAACUGACGCUGAGGCGCGAAAGCGUGGGGAGCAAACAGGAUUAGAUACCCUGGUAGUCCACGCCGUAAACGAUGAGUGCUAAGUGUUAGAGGGGUCAAACCCUUUAGUGCUGUAGCUAACGCGUUAAGCACUCCGCCUGGGGAGUACGGCCGCAAGGCUGAAACUCAAAUGAAUAGACGG
rnacentral:rRNA from 1 species